rnacentral:ncRNA from 1 species
AAUAAAUUUUAUAUGGUUUAAAAAAUUUAUUAUAAAUUUAUUUUACAUAUAAAUUCUAGUAUUUAAUAAUUAUUAUUUUAAUAAUAGUAAUAAUAUACUUGUAGUAAUUAAUAUUAAAUAUUUAAGAAAUUAAGAUUUAGUAAUAUAAAAAUUAUUAACAAAUUUUGUGCCAGCAGUUGCGGUUAAACAAAAGUUAAAUUAAAUUUUGUUAGUUAAUUAAUAAUUAAUUUAUUUAAUAUAAUUAAAAAUUAAUAUUAUUAGGUGAAAUUUUAAUUUUAUAUUUAUUUAUUUAAUAUAAUUUAUGAUUUGAUAAAUUUUAAUAUUAAACUAGGAUUAGAUACCCUAUUAUUUAAAAUUUAAAUUUAAAAUACUAAAAUAGUAUAUAAUUAUUUAUUGAAACUUAAAUAUUUUGGCGGUAUUUUAGUUUAUUUAGAGGAAUCUGUUUAUUAAUUGAUAAUCCACGAAUAAAUUUACUUAAUUUAGUAUUUUGUAUAUCGUUGUUAAAAAAAUAUUUUUUAAUAAUUAUAAUAUUUUGAAAUUAAUAAUAAAAUUUAAAUCAAAUCAAGAUGCAGAUUAUAAUUAAGAAUAUAAUGGAUUACAAUAAAAUUAUUUAAAUGAAUUUUAAUUUGUAAUAAUUAAAUGAAGGUGGAUUUAAAUGUAAUUUUUUUUUAUUUUAUAAAAAUGAUUUAUAAUUAAAAUAUGUACAUAUUGCCCGUCGCUUUCAUAAAUAAAUUGAAAUAAGUCGUAACAAAGUAGAGGUACUGGAAAGUGUUUCUAGAAAGAA